AUGAACGCUAGCUACAGGCUUAACACAUGCAAGUCGAGGGGCAGCAUGGUCUUAGCUUGCUAAGGCCGAUGGCGACCGGCGCACGGGUGAGUAACACGUAUCCAACCUGCCGUCUACUCUUGGACAGCCUUCUGAAAGGAAGAUUAAUACAAGAUGGCAUCAUGAGUCCGCAUGUUCACAUGAUUAAAGGUAUUCCGGUAGACGAUGGGGAUGCGUUCCAUUAGAUAGUAGGCGGGGUAACGGCCCACCUAGUCUUCGAUGGAUAGGGGUUCUGAGAGGAAGGUCCCCCACAUUGGAACUGAGACACGGUCCAAACUCCUACGGGAGGCAGCAGUGAGGAAUAUUGGUCAAUGGGCGAGAGCCUGAACCAGCCAAGUAGCGUGAAGGAUGACUGCCCUAUGGGUUGUAAACUUCUUUUAUAAAGGAAUAAAGUCGGGUAUGGAUACCCGUUUGCAUGUACUUUAUGAAUAAGGAUCGGCUAACUCCGUGCCAGCAGCCGCGGUAAUACGGAGGAUCCGAGCGUUAUCCGGAUUUAUUGGGUUUAAAGGGAGCGUAGAUGGAUGUUUAAGUCAGUUGUGAAAGUUUGCGGCUCAACCGUAAAAUUGCAGUUGAUACUGGAUAUCUUGAGUGCAGUUGAGGCAGGCGGAAUUCGUGGUGUAUCGGUGAAAUGCUUAGAUAUCACGAAGAACUCCGAUUGCGAAGGCAGCCUGCUAAGCUGCAACUGACAUUGAGGCUCGAAAGUGUGGGUAUCAAACAGGAUUAGAUACCCUGGUAGUCCACACGGUAAACGAUGAAUACUCGCUGUUUGCGAUAUACAGCAAGCGGCCAAGCGAAAGCGUUAAGUAUUCCACCUGGGGAGUACGCCGGCAACGGUGAAACUCAAAGGAAUUGACGGGGGCCCGCACAAGCGGAGGAACAUGUGGUUUAAUUCGAUGAUACGCGAGGAACCUUACCCGGGCUUAAAUUGCAGAUGAAUUACGGUGAAAGCCGUAAGCCGCAAGGCAUCUGUGAAGGUGCUGCAUGGUUGUCGUCAGCUCGUGCCGUGAGGUGUCGGCUUAAGUGCCAUAACGAGCGCAACCCUUGUUGUCAGUUACUAACAGGUUCCGCUGAGGACUCUGACAAGACUGCCAUCGUAAGAUGUGAGGAAGGUGGGGAUGACGUCAAAUCAGCACGGCCCUUACGUCCGGGGCUACACACGUGUUACAAUGGGGGGUACAGAGGGCCGCUACCACGCGAGUGGAUGCCAAUCCCCAAAACCUCUCUCAGUUCGGACUGGAGUCUGCAACCCGACUCCACGAAGCUGGAUUCGCUAGUAAUCGCGCAUCAGCCACGGCGCGGUGAAUACGUUCCCGGGCCUUGUACACACCGCCCGUCAAGCCAUGGGAGCCGGGGGUACCUGAAGUGCGUAACCGCGAGGAGCGCCCUAGGGUAAAACUGGUGACUGGGGCU
rnacentral:rRNA from 1 species